GCGCCCGCGCUGUGCGCCUUUGCGAGGGCGGAGCUGCGUUCUCCUCAGCACAGACCCAGAUUGCAUCGUGAGGGCGAGCUGAGUUCUCCUCUGCACAGACUUCGGAGAUACAGCGAAGUCGGAGCAGUGUUUUCCUCAGCACAGACCCGGGCGGGCGGGCCGGGGGCACCGCGAGGGCGGAGCUGCGUUCUGCUCAGCACAGACCCGGGGUACACCUCGAAGGCAGAGCAGCUUUCUCCUCAGCACAGACCUUGGGGACACUGCCUCCCUUUGAGCAGAAUAGGUGAAUGAAUGAAUGAGUGUAAUCACAUGCCCUGCCUUUCCCUGUUUAUCAAGCCUGGCAUCACUUCAGAAUCUCUUGUUAGGAUUUAUGAUACCCAGGCUUUACCUCAGAAGCUGAGAGUGGCACUCAGAUUACUGAUUUUGGGCACUCCAAGAUUUUGGGAGAGACCUCUCUCGUGAGAACCUUAUGUGGAACCCCCACCUGCUUGGCUCCUGAAGUUCUUGUUUCUGUUGGACUGCUGGGUUUUAGGAGUUAUUCUUUUUAUCUGCCUUAGUGGGUAUCCACCUUUCUCUGAGCAUAGGACUCAAGUGUCACUGAAGGAUCAGAUCACCAGUGGAAAACACAACUUCAUUCCUAAAGUCUGGGCAGAAGUCUCAGAGAAAGCUCUGGACCUUGUCAAGAAGUUGUUGGUAGUGGAUCCAAAGGCAUGUUUUACGACAGAAGAAGCCUUAAGACACCAUGGUUUCAGGAUGAAGACACGAAGAGAAAGUUUCAAGAUCUUCUGUCUGAGGAAAAUGAAUCCACAGGUCUAUCCCAGGUUCUAGCCCAGCCUUCUACUAGUCGAAAGCGGCCUCCUGAAGGGGAAGCCGAGGGUGCCGAGACCACAAAGCGCCCGGCUGUGUGUGCUGCUGUGUUGUGAACUCCGUGGUUUGAACAUGAAAGAAAUGUACCUUCUUUCACUCUGUCAUCUUUCUUUUCUUUGAGUCUGUUUUUUUAUAGUUUGUAUAUCAAUUAUGGAAAUAAUUGCUUUUUCACAGUCACUGAUGUACAAUUAAAAACCUGAUGGAACCUGGGC